rnacentral:SRP_RNA from 1 species
GUUGGACAUCACAUAGUGCAUACCUGUAAUGCCAGCCACUAAACACAUGGGUUUCUUGGGCUUGUGAGUUCUUAGAUGCAGUGAGCUAUGUAGGUGUCCUCAUUAGAAUCAGCAUCAUCAUGGUAGGCUCCCAGGAGAGUGAGGGCACCAUGUUGUUUCAGGAAGGACAAACUGGUCCAUGUCAGAAAUGGAGCAGGUCAAAGCUCCCAUGCCAGUCAGUACUGGGAUUGGGCCUUUAAAUAGCCCCUGUACUUUCACAAUGGGGAGAUAUAGUUUU